CACGUAGGCGGACUGGUCAGUUAGGGGUGAAAUCCCGGGGCUCAACCCCGGAACUGCCUUUAAUACUGCCAGUCUUGAGUUCGAGAGAGGUGAGUGGAAUUCCGAGUGUAGAGGUGAAAUUCGUAGAUAUUCGGAGGAACACCAGUGGCGAAGGCGGCUCACUGGCUCGAUACUGACGCUGAGGUGCGAAAGCGUGGGGAGCAAACA
rnacentral:rRNA from 1 species